CACACACACACACACACACACACACAUUGUAUAUUUAUCUGAAUUGUUGCAAAUAUACUUGUAGCUCCUUCUUUGUGUAGACUAAGUGUGCAAUGUCUCUGAGUAUUGAUUUUGUACGGUUGAUCUGUAAGAGAGAGAGAGAGAGAGGGAGAGAGAGAAGAGAGACUCCUUCACAUUUUGUGCCUAUUUUAAUUGUGGUCUCAACACUAGUCUGUUUCUGGAAUAUAUAACACUGUGAGGGGGUCACUAAAACCUAAUGAACCAUGUUCAAUUCGUUGUUUGUCUUUUUUUUCUCUAAGAGAAAAAAACUGGUAAACAUCCUAUUAAGCCAAGAGAUAAAUAGCAAUCACUCUGAGAGGCUUCAGCGCGUGCUACACGACCAUAUUACCAGAGUGUAUGUUCUCAUCAGUGUAUGAGAACAUGUGGUCACUGGUUUAUGAGGACCUCCCACAGUGUUUGGAGGAAACAGCUUGGUGCUCUACACACUGUAAGGGCCACAGUCACUGUUUACACCUGUUGUUAUGGAGAUAUAAAGGUCAAAUAAAGGUUAUGCGCAGGAUAACAAUGUCAAUUAAUUUCAUGAAACAAUUUCAUGAUUUUAGCUUAGAUUUUUCGGUGCUUUAUCCCAUACUGUAAAAACAGGUAGAAUCAGGAAAUAAAUCUAUCCCAAAGAGAGGCUGUUCUGAUUGCAGGAAGUGACACAGGUGUUCCCUGAGACCACAAUCUCUCUCUGGGCCAGUUGCAUAUCGACCCCUAGCCCCUACCCCCUAGGCACUUGAGGAGGAUAGUUCUGGACAGAUAUAAUCAAUAUGGUAAUAGCUCCACCAUUCCCCUGAUAGGCUAUGUGGAACUUUCCCCAUAUCGCUCACAGCUAUCCAGCCUACUAGAAGUUGUGCCCUGGGGCGAGCGGCUAGAGGCUAGGGGUUCGUAUGGGAUUGGCCAUAUUCAUUUUAAAUGACCACCAGGGGUGUCCCAUCAGUAAAGAGCUGAGGAGAAUACAACACAGAGUGUGCUUUCCUAACCUCCUAGCUGACUCGACACCCUUCUUAAAGACCAUUGUGUGAACAACAAACUGUGAUCCUACCAAUGUUCCCCAGAGACAUAUUUAUUUCUAUCCAUAUGGCUCUGAUGUUCCCCACCCAGUCUCUGAAUAAUAACCAUUGCACUAAGUGCAAUAUGGUGUAUGUGAAGGGCACAGCCAUUGGGAAAUACCAGGCCCCCAUAUCUCUGUCUUGUCGUUACUCUAAUCAAAAUGGGUCCUCACUUAAAAAGAUGUUGCAUAAAGCUUAGUUCAUUAUACGGUUUUCACUGCAUCAGGGAUAGCAUACACAGAUGUUUCGGCUUCACAGUCUUCUUCAGUGUGUAGGUACACAUGUAUUUGAAUUCAAAACAGCAUUUGUAGGGAACAACAGCUUAGCAGCAGGUGCUUCUAAGCAGAGUUACCAAUCAAUGUGCCAAGCUUUCAUGUUGAAGCAUAUCACGAGCAGCUUUCAUCGUAGAACUGUAGAAAACCAUGUUGAAUGGUGACAAUGGGACAGACUGACGACCGUGAUAAUCACUGUGGUCAAAGACGUUCUCUGUCUGCUGCACUUAGGAUGACGAGAGAGAGAAACGCGGGAGAGUAACAUGCUACCUCUUGUGGAUGGAGAUGCUUUAGGCCUACUGUACUCUGUCUGGUCCUGGACAACCACUGUGUAUGCUGGUUUUCAUCUGAACCAGUCUCUUCCCCUAAUCUGUGCUGAUAUCACCUGAUUUAUGUUAGGAGUGUAUCACUUUCAGAGUCAGUGGAGAGGUUGGUGGGGAGAACUGUCUAUGCUAGGUUAUUCCAGGGAAAGCAACAGGAGACUAGGUGAGGCUAUGCUGCAAAUGCCUGAUCCUUCUGUCUGUCUGUCUGUCUGUCUGUCUGUCUGUCUG
rnacentral:lncRNA from 1 species